CCAUUCCAUGCUUCUAUGAGACAACUGUCAGAUGAUUCUGGUGGUUUUCUGUAGCUGAACCAAGAGCUACAUCACCCCUGGGAAUAAUGCAGCAUCUCUGCCAGACCCCAGGAGCAGAGUCCCCCAAGCCUCACUGCAUUCUACUGCAGCUUCCAGGCUGGGCCCCUGGUGAAGGCAGUUCCAGGUACCUCAAAAAUUGAUGGAGGGAAGAAUAAGCAAUGGAAGUUUCCAUCCCUGAUCACAGGUGUGAAGACGCCUGAGGAGCUGCAGGACUUCCUGGUGGACUCUUUCCUGACUACUACUCUCUUCCCAAUAUUAAUACUUCCCUGCAGCUGAAGCUUUUCAGAUCCACUUAACACCAGACUUGUGCCAAUCUUGGUAAUUUUCAGAGUUUACACCAAGCAUCACCUACACUGCUUUUCUGCAUUGUGAAGGUACAGAUGCAGGGUGCUGGAGGCACAGCAGAGAACAAGAAAUCCAUCUCCCUUCAUUCCCCAUCCUCUGAAAGAAACCUGAAGCCAUGUGGGAUGACUUUCAUCCCAUCUGCUCCAGCAAGCACUGAACAAUCCCAUCUGUAAAUGUUGCAGCCUGAGGAUGGUCUGGAAUGCUGUGUUCUUCUCCAGGGUCACACAGAACAGAUAGGUGGAGAAGGUCCAGUGGGAAAAAUGGAACCUUGAACUCCAGAAAUGCAAACCCCCAUAGAACACUGCACCACAGACUCUGCCUAGACAUCCACCCUUCCCAUCUCAAAAACUUAGUUCCCCAUUUGUAAGACAGAGACAGCCACACUGCCCUGACUCACAUUAAAGGAAGAUAAAUACAGUAAUAAACAUGAACUGCCUCAAUUCUGUUGCAACAAGACCCCUCCUGAGUGCAGAAAAUUGCCAUUUCCUUUGGUUUCCCUGUAGUAAGUCUGCACAAUCACAUGUUAUCCUAUUGUGCUACCAGAUAAUUUUGCAGCAAUUUCCUCUCCUAAGACAUUUGACUUCACUGUAAGCCAGUUUAAUAGCCUAUAGAUAUUAACAUGAUCCCUUAUUUACAAUAAUGGGACCUUGCAGCUACUGUAGCUUACAGAUGCAAUUUAUUACAGGAUGUUACCACAAUCCACAGGCUACCAGAAAACAUUAUGCCUGGUUGUUACAAAUGCCAUUUUCCUUCUCCAGAUAAUAAAAUAACCCUUUAAAUGAUUGGGAUUUUUCCUUCUUCUGAAUGUCUGUGAAAAUUAAUCUUACUUUAAAAGCCUCCUUUUCCCUUGUGGUAAUGAGA